UUGUAUGGAACAGUCUAUGGUUGAGUGAGAGAUGACAUGUGAGGGAAGGUUAUGAGGGAAACCAAACCCAAUGAAAGUCGAUCUAACACUAAAUUUAUUAAGAUUAUUUUGAGUAUAUAUAGGCAGAAGUACAGACGUCAUUUGACGUAAUUUGUAGCAAACAAAUAUCAAUUUCAUUAGAAAUCUGCAUAGGAAAAAUAACAAUUUCGUAAUAAAUCAGCUAAAUUAAAGAGGUUACUA
rnacentral:misc_RNA from 1 species